UUUCUUUUUUUUUUUGUUUUGCAAACUUUUUAUACAUACGCGUAUAUAUAUAUAUUAUUUUUUUUUUUCAUUUAUUUAUCCUAUUCCUUGCCCACGAGCGAGAUCCGAAAAAAAAAAAAAGAAAAGAAAAAUAAUGUAGUGUGACCUGACUUAGCAUUUUAUGGUAGAGUUGUUUCGUUUAUUUAAUUAUCAUUAUUAUUUAUUAACAGGAACAUCAUCGAAUCUUUGUUCGUUACAUCGUCAUCGUACGUUUCUACAUUUAUUAUCGUGAUCAUCACUAUCAGCAUUAUUAUCACCACCGGCGUUAAUUAAUUAAUCGUAUCGGACAAAUAGCGUCGUAGUGCGUCAAUCAUCAUUAUUAUUAUCAUCAUUUAUAUCAGCAGCGUUCAUCGUAUUCAUCAUCGCUUGUUCAGCAGCAUCAUCAUCCAUAUAAAUAAAUAAUUAUCAUCAACCGUGCGAUAACAACGCAUAAUCGUCAUUUGUUCAUUGAUUUCGAGAUCGAAACAGGGGAGAGAGAGAGAGAGAGAGAGAGAAGAAAAAGGAAAGAAAAUAGGAGGUAUUAAUAUCCGAUUGAUCGUCGAAAAAAAUAGCGCUAUCCGAAAGGUUAAAAAAGGAAGAAAAAAAAAAAAAAUCCGAGGGAAAAAAAAAUAAAAAAAUCUCACGAAGGGGCGACAUCGUUUGAAUCCUAAUUCGUCGUAAACUUUCUCGCUCGUAACUAUAUAUACGCACGGUACAUACAAACGCUCUCCUCUCUCUGGUCGUUACUCUGCUUCGUACUCUCUCACUGAGGACUUGCUCGCAAGCGAACAGAUGGACGCACAUACAUAUACAUGUACAUUUACAUAUUAUAUACAUAUUACAUAUACGAAGGGGGAAGGGGAAUACACACGCGCGCGCGCGCGUGCGCGCGCACACACACACACACACACAUGUACCGAAAACAGAGAGACAUACUCUCGAUGCAUGCACGCUGUAUCGCUAUCGGCCGCGAAUACACACACCCACGCAUACAGAAUCGCAUACAUACACACGUAGUUGUGUACACGCAAAAGUAAGUAUCCUCGUGAACGCGUCUCUCGUUAGCCAUGAAGAAAAGAGAGUAGGGGAAAGAAAAGAAAAAAAAAAA